rnacentral:rRNA from 1 species
UACAGAGGUCUCAAGCGUUGUUCGGAUUCAUUAGGCGUAAAGGGUGCGUAGGUGGCGCUGUAAGUCGGGUGUGAAAUUUCGGAGCUUAACUCCGAAACUGCAUUCGAUACUGCGGGGCUUGAGGACUGGAGAGGAGACUGGAAUUCAUGGUGUAGCAGUGAAAUGCGUAGAGAUCAGGAGGAAGACCAGUGGCGAAGGCGGGUCUCUGGACAGUUCCUGACACUGAGGCACGAAGGCCAGGGGAGCAAACGGG